rnacentral:rRNA from 1 species
UAGGGAAUCUUCCGCAAUGGACGCAAGUCUGACGGAGCAACGCCGCGUGAGUGAAGAAGGAUUUCGGAUCGUAAAACUCUGUUGUUAGAGAAGAACAGCGCAUAGAGUAACUGUUAUGCGUGUGACGGUAUCUAACCAGAAAGCCACGGCUAACUACGUGCCAGCAGCCGCGGUAAUACGUAGGUGGCAAGCGUUGUCCGGAUUUAUUGGGCGUAAAGCGAGCGCAGGCGGUCAAUUAAGUCUGAUGUGAAAGCCCCCGGCUCAACCGGGGAGGGUCAUUGGAAACUGUUUAACUUGAGUGCAGAAGGGGAGAGUGGAAUUCCAUGUGUAGCGGUGAAAUGCGUAGAUAUGUGGAGGAACACCGGUGGCGAAAGCGGCUCUCUGGUCUGUAACUGACGCUGAGGCUCGAAAGCGUGGGGAGCGAACAGG